CAGUCCUCAGACUCAGGAUAAAAGCCUAGGCCUAGCUGAGACACCUCAUCCUCUUCUCAUUAGAGGCUGGCUACAUUUGAGCAUGGCUAUCCUGGUGCUGCUUCUCUGCCUGGUGACCAUUCCACACUCUGUCUUGUCCCAGGUGCAGCUGAAGGAGACAGGACCUGGCCUGGUGCAACCAACACAGACCCUGUCCAUCACAUGUACUGUUUCUGGGUUCUCAUUAACCAGCUAUUAUAUGCAGUGGGUUCGCCAGACUCCAGGAAAGGGACUAGAAUGGAUGGGAUUUAUACGGAGUGGUGGAAGCACAGAGUAUAAUUCAGAGUUCAAAUCCCGACUUAGCAUCAGCAGGGACACCUCCAAGAACCAAGUUUUCUUAAAAAUGAACAGUCUGAAAACAGAGGACACAGGCGUGUACUACUGUGCCAGAGACACAGUGAGGGAAGUCCAGUGUGAACUUGCACAAAAUCCCCCUUACAAGGAUUCCUAUAACCAGCAGGGGGCGCUGCAGACCAACAUAUUCAUUCCAGGAUCAUUUCAGAAUUUAAGAAGUUUUAGGCUAUGUUGCAUGGGCCUUUGUUUUAAUGUUAAAAUGUGGACUCUUCUUCUACCAUGGAAAUUCUCUAGAGUCUUCUCUUCAGUUUACUAUUGGAUGGCCUGGGUCUGCCAAGCUCCAGAGAAGGGUCUGGAGUUUGUAGCAUUAAUUAGUAAUGACGACAGUAGUGCCUACUAUGAAGACACUGUGAAUGGUUGA